UACGUAGGGUGCAAACGUUAAUCGGAAUUACUGGGCGUAAAGCGUGCGCAGGCGGUUCGCUAAGACAGAUGUGAAAUCCCCGGGCUUAACCUGGGAACUGCAUUUGUGACUGGCGGGCUAGAGUAUGGCAGAGGGGGGUAGAAUUCCACGUGUAGCAGUGAAAUGCGUAGAGAUGUGGAGGAAUACCGAUGGCGAAGGCAGCCCCUGGGCCAAUACUGACGCUCAUGCA
rnacentral:rRNA from 1 species